rnacentral:tmRNA from 1 species
GGGGCUGAUUCUGGAUUCGACGGGAUUUGCGAAACCCAAGGUGCAUGCCGAGGGGCGGUUGGCCUCGUAAAAAGCCGCAAAAAAAUAGUCGCAAACGACGAAACCUACGCUUUAGCAGCUUAAUAACCUGCUUAGAGCCCUCUCUCCCUAGCCUCCGCUCUUAGGACGGGGAUCAAGAGAGGUCAAACCCAAAAGAGAUCGCGUGGAUGCCUUGCCUGGGGUUGAAGCGUUAAAACGAAUCAGGCUAGUCUGGUAGUGGCGUGUCCGUCCGCAGGUGCCAGGCGAAUGUAAAGACAGACUAAGCAUGUAGUACCGAGGAUGUAGGAAUUUCGGACGCGGGUUCAACUCCCGCCAGUUCCACCA